CAAACGACUCUCGGCAACGGAUAUCUCGGCUCACGCAUCGAUGAAGAACGUAGCAAAAUGCGAUACUUGGUGUGAAUUGCAGAAUCCCGUGAACCAUCGAGUUUUUGAACGCAAGUUGCGCCCGAAGCCAUUCGGCUGAGGGCACGCCUGCCUGGGCGUCACGC
rnacentral:rRNA from 4 species